rnacentral:rRNA from 1 species
CUGACCUACGGGGGGCAGCAGUGGGGAAUAGUGCACAAUGGGGGAAACCCUGAUGCAGCGACGCCGCGUGAGUGAAGAAGUAUUUCGGUAUGUAAAGCUCUAUCAGCAGGGAAGAAAAUGACGGUACCUGACUAAGAAGCCCCGGCUAACUACGUGCCAGCAGCCGCGGUAAUACGUAGGGGGCAAGCGUUAUCCGGAUUUAUUGGGUUUAAAGGGUGCGUAGGCGGACAGUCAAGUCAGCGGUAAAAAUGCGGUGCUCAACGCAGUACAGCCGUUGAAACUGGCAGUGUUGAGUGGGCGAGAAG